UGAGAUACUGAUCUAACACUAAAUGCUAAAAUCUCAAAUGGAAAGAGACUUCCAGCAUAACUAGUCUUUCUACAUUAAUGCUAGGAAACAGUACUCAAAUUGUCAUCCAAUCCAGAAAAAGAACAAACAAGUACUCAAAUUGCCUUCCGGUUAUUACUUGGAAACAGAAUAUUGCAAAAUUAUCCAAAGGAAACAACACUUUCGACACAACUAUAACUGCCUUCGAUGUUGCUCUCCGUAGGAAGAGCCUUGAUUUCUACUGCUCUCCAAAGCCUUGAUUUCUACUGCUCUCCAACUCUUUCUCGUUACAUCAUGACACAAACAUAAAAUGCCUGACUUUAAUUUCACAUUGAAGAGAAUAUCCCCAUCACUUGAUGUUGUGAUCGGAAGAGGUGAUUGUAUCCCGUACCCUAUUGAAGAAAAGCAAAUGAUAUGACACUUCCAUUGAUCUUCUUUUUUAGUGUUCUCUAAAAUCCACAAGCAGAUAUGGUUUGUAUAUUCAUAUUUAAUGGACUCACAUAUUUAAGAACAAUAGUAUAUAUGUCUACUCUCAAUUAAAGGAGUCCGCCAUAUUGAUCUAAUAAAGCGUUAAUUUAUUUGGGCUAUAGAAAUAUCAGUUAAUAAUAUAUGGGCUUCAUCUAUGAGAAACCCAGUGCACUUUUCAAAUAUAUUGAUGGCGUAUAUCUAAAAAGGUACCUAUUGUGAAAAGUCAAUCUCGGAAGAGUUGCCUUUCCUUAUUUAUGGUGUUGUGGUCCCUGUGCCUUUCAACGUAACUUUUCUCUCUAUCCAUCUAAGAGAAGAAUAUAAACAAGAGCGUGGUUAAGGCACAGAAGAUCAUCAACUUACUUGAUUACAACAAAGUCAUCUUCGAUGGUUCAAGGUACUAAUUUACAGGACGAUGCAUCUGCUCAGUAGGACAACAUUCGUAUCAGCUUAUAGGACCACGCACCUGCUCAGUAGGACAGCAUUCGUAUCAGCUUAUUGGUUAGCCCCAUCUUAUAUGGGGUUUAGUCAACUCUUUAUUUUAUGAUUAGCUAUGCAUCUAAGGUAUGCUGGGGGCCUUGUCCCAGCGAGUAUGUUUUCCAUGUUCAGACUUAUGUUAGAGGUUCAUAGACUAGACAAGUUAGUUAUGUUAUGUCAAACUUUCGGAGUUAUAUAGCAAUUUUGGCUCAUUCAUGUUA